rfam:Clostridium bolteae CAG:59 genomic scaffold, scf243
GGGGUUGUACUGGUUUCGACGGGGGUCAUGCAGCUGGUGAAGCUAUCCCCAUGCGAUGGGUUAAAUGGCAAAAAUAAAUAUAAACGCUAACGACGAAUUAGCAAUCGCUGCCUAAUGGCAGCUGUCAGACUUAGAGCACCCGCACUUUAAGACCCUGGCAUCGACUAUGUGGGAAACGACGUAUGCAAAGCUUUGAGCAUAUGGGCGUAUGAUGAAGCUACUGAAACCAUCCGGGUGUCCUUUCUCUGAUGGCAGAGGGAAUGUCAAAUAAAGGACUAUGAUAGUAGAAGAACAGGGAAUUGAUUUUCGGACAGGGGUUCGAUUCCCCUCAGCUCCACUC